AGAAGGGCCGACCGCGACCUGCCUUCUAUUGAUACGCUCAUCCGCGCGUACCUGUCGACGCAUCGGCCAGCGCUGCUAUCCUCUCUUUGUGGCCUGCUCGUGUCUGCAGUAUGGAACCAGUGCUUUACGCCUGCGUCUGACAGUGUCGUGUCUUUGGCUAAGCUCCCUCCUUGGGCCUCCACGCUGCGCGUUCUUCUCCUGCCUUGGAGAUAUGCGCUCCAUCCAACGGGCCCCACGCACACUUCCGUAUCUCAUCACACGCCCGGGAACAACGCUCUUCCGUUCGUCUCCUGACGGAGUGGCCUGUUCUUUGCUCCCCUGCUCACGGCUCAUCUCUCUGUCUCUUUUGGGUCUUGGGAGUGCUUUUCUGAUCCUGUCAGCUGUGCGUGGUGGUCGCCACAGCGUGGGCAACCGAAAUGCAAUGAUCCUGUCAUCGUGGUGGGGACCUCACAUAUUUCUUCGCAGCGCCUUCUCCGGCGACGUCGCCUGCAUAGCGGCGCCCAUGGUAGUCGAAAAUAUGUGGCAAGUGGGAUGAGUUUAGCUGGAGGCGCGUCACGUAGUGGGCGCCUCAUGCGCGCAGGGCCUGCGUGUGGUGCUGACUUUGUACCUCGUCGUGCUGAUCGGGAUUCGGGUCCCUAUCUCACGCCUCCUCGACGUGGACGACGACGUACCCGAAGGAGAAGCCCUCGGAGAGAGGGGGGAUCGUCGUGGCGGUGAUGCGCAGUUGCCGUCAUUGGACGGCAGCGCCCGCUCUUUCUGAAGCAUCCUCGUCAAACGCAACCUCACCAUGGGCACCCGUGAGCACCUCUUGGCCAAGCUCAUCUACCCCUGCAUGCGCUUCUGCGACUGCACCACCGUCGGAUCGCUGACGGCGUGCAUGGCGAAUGGCGUCUAGGUGACCGCGCAGCCAGUUCAGAUGCUCAUGAGCUUGACCCUGACCAAGGUCAACACGCCCAUCGGAGCCAUGCCGAUGUACUUGCUUGCUGGCGGCGUGCAAUGAUCACGCUGAUGAUGGUCUUACCCAUCAUCCUCACCACCGGGACGUACGCGCGGUAGGUGGCUUGCAUCUACCGCGGCGCCUGAGACGCGCUGGCGCAGGGCAGCAGCACAGCCACCGACGCCUUCUCGAACAUCCGCAUCAGCUGCGCCUUCUCGGCCGAGGAGCACGAGAAGUUUGUGGCAGCGAUGGGCACGACACUGAGCAAGACACCUCGCAAAGCCAUUGACUUCUCCGGCACGCUCUGCGCCACAAGCCUUCUGGAGCUGGGCUUCAGCAGCAGUGAUGCUAGGCUUUGACGGGUACAGCGUCGUGGCGCAGCCGCACGACGUUGCCGCUGGCCAGCUGGCCACCUUCUAGCUGUACUCCAGCUGGAUGAUCUCGGCAUAUCAGGUGCUGAACGGCGCACUGAACCAGCUCAGGAAAAGCAUCGGCGCGGCCGAGUGUAUGCUCACCGUGCUUGAGGUGAAAACCGAUCUUGCCCCAACGAAAGGCAGUGAGACCGCCACCGCUGGUGUGGAGUCAAGGGUGCUAGACUGCAUCUGCUUGCACCACCAAGCGCGACGUGGCCGCAUUGUUUUGAUCAGCAUUUCCGGCGAGUUUCCGCACAGCUCCGUCACCGCCAUCGUCGGCGGCUCUGGCGGCGGCAAGUCCACCACCAUGCUCUGCAUGUACGAGCCACAGGUGAUGUGCGUUCUCGUCGACGGGCGAGACAUUCGCGACCUUCUUUUCAAGUGGCUGCACCAUCAGUGCGCAGUGGUGGCCCAGGACAUGCAGGUCUUCAGCUGUUCUGCUGAGGACAACAUCAGCCACGGACUGGAGAAGGCCUCGCAUGAGGCCGCCGUGACGGCGGCAAAGGCGGUUAAUGCACACAGCUUUAUCGUCGGACUCUCGGAUGGCUACAGCACAUUCGUCGGGGAGUGAGGUGGGGGACGGAGCGGCGGUCAGCGGCAGCGCAUUGCUAUCGCACAUGCACUCCUGCGCAAGCAGCGUGUUUUCAAUCAGCUCAUCGCUAACCUUUGCGAGAGCUGCACGAUUAUCGUCAUUGGCUAGAGCCGCUCCACCAUCACCAACGCGCACAAGAUACUUGCUAUUGAUGCGGGCACGGCAGCGUCAGCAGGGCACUGACGACGCGUGCCCCUGCAGCUUCGUAUCGCGCACUGGUAGCUCGCCGACCGCCAGCUGCAAAACGGGCGUACCACGAUGGGCUUUGACGAGGUCGACGGCGUCGUCACCUCAUCAGGCAUCCCGCACAUCACGCAGCGACGGCGAAGACGAGAGAGAGGCAGCGGUGAAGCUGUCGGUGUCGGUGGCGGUGGCGGCUUUUAGGCGUGCAUAGG
rnacentral:misc_RNA from 1 species